GGGCUUUCCAUGGCGCCGCAUCGUCCCUAUAUCGGUCGGGCCGAUGGGGGAAUUUUCUCCUGCCGGCUAUGGCGAUAAACCGUGGCGUGUCAUAGACACAGCGGACCCGGGGGCAGUACCCGGCGACUCCACCACCGCCCCUUUGCAAAGAGGGACGAUGACGGGGUCGAACUAGGAUCGACGUGUGUUCAACGACGCUAUGUUUCGCUCGGAAUGGGACCACCGCAACGGCCCAUACACAAGUGCCAACGAUAACGAAGCACUCGCAAUUGCCGCAUAACUGACGGUCUAACGACCUAAGUUAUACGGACGAAAGCGCGGUUCGGGCCACACCGGGCAACAGAAGUGGACACC
rnacentral:tmRNA from 1 species